AUUAAUUAGAGAUAAAUAUUAGAGACUAAUUGGAAUAAGUGAGUAGAAAUUAUCACACAAAUAGAACACCAUGAUUUGUGGUCUACAUGUUAUUAAACAAAUGCUAAGAAAGAAUCAAAGCGGGACCCACACUUUGAUUAUGAACCACAUGACCAAAGCCAUAUCUCUUCAAUUUCAUUUUUCAUUUGCUGAACUGAAAGAGCACUCAGGAAACAAAGACUCCCUCACCCUCUCUCACGCCUCCCACCCUCAUCUCUACCUUUCCAUUUAUUCAACAAUCAAACAUGGAAGAUUCUUGCAUGCAAUCCACUCAUUAGUUUCUUGGGUCAAUUAGAGCAAGGAACAAAGUAUUGAUUAAAACCUCAAAGAUUCGGAGGUUUGAGUAAAAGGGGUCAAAUUGGAAGUUGAGAACUUAGUGGCAAAAAUAAGAAGUUCAUGGAGAUAGAGAAGUUGGGGAAAAGCUUGAAGCUUGGAGUUUCAACACUUAAUUCAUGAUUCUACGGCCGCUGGAAGUGGAGGAUGGCAGCAAAAGCUGCAUUUUGCUUACUGCAACAGCUCACCUAGCGAGCAGGAAGGUCUCUCAAUGACCGUAGCAGGGCAACAGUUCUUCUGCAUCUUUGUCAAACCAUUCUUGAAUAUUGGUAAGAAAACUUAGAGCUCUUUUCCUUUCAUUCAGAUUUCAGAAUCAGCAUAUUCUUCGAUGUUAGAAAAUGUCAUUAAUUCCAUUCUUGGUAUUUACAUGUGGUUUUUGUGGUGAAUGAGGCUUGGUUAAAUAAUUGGAGCUGAGCAUGGAAUUAAAAGUGGAAUUCAGAACCAUUAUAAAGGAAAAUAGAACUUAUUAAGAAGCAUUGGAUGCUUGAAUGAUGACUGAGGAUGUACGAAUCAGUAAGGACAAUUGUUGAAACAAGGAAACAAAGAAGACUGGAAAUAUUUAUGGAAAUUCGUAUGCUGGAUGUACCCUCACUAAAAUGGUACCAGCCUAGUGAGAUGUAAUGGAGAAAUGAGGUCUCGACGAAUCUUUAAAGUGAAAGGUCCAACACAGAAUUUAUGCAGAAAGUGUUUGGGAUUGGGCUGCACUCAAACGAAUUGUGGCCAGUAGGUAUUUUUGAAGUUGGAACUCUGAUGCUGGUAUUAUGCAGAAAAAUCUGCACACAAGUUUGGAGUAGUUUCGUUGCAAAUUCUGCUUUUCGACGAGUUUCGGAAAUGUCGGUGGUAUGGUUCAAGCGUCGAUUUCAGAUAAACAGGUUGAUCAAGAUAUCAUGGUCUACAAGCAUGGAGUUCAGAUACUUGGAUUAUGCUAGUUGAGCUGACGUCAUGUUAUCUUAUAUUUGUAUAAGAUUUAGUUUCUUUAUGUUUUCAGUUGUUAGCUCAAUUUAGUAUUAAUCUCUUGGAUUUUGUAAUCCUAUUUAUGUAUUCGGACAAUAUGUAAUGAAAAUUUAAUGUUUCCCGAUUCAGUUAUGUACACUCUUAUCGAUAUUCUAGAUAAAUUGACAUGGGGUGUUAUAAUUGGUAUCAGAGCAGGUCGAUUCACUAUCGGACCUUGCCGCGGAUCAUUAAAAUUCAAUCCAUAGUAGUACGGACCCUUUGGAGUCUGGACUGUUUACGCUGAAAUCAUCGCGUGUUGAGCCUGAUCAACUCAAUAUCGUGUAUGGUAGGCAGGGUAUUACGGUUGAGAACCGAAGUGGACCAAGGAGGUCAAGUAGUAAGAAAGAAGUAGAAGCGCAUACUCAGAUGAAAGUAUUAACGGAGACCGUUAGAAGUGGAUAUCGGAACUGCAGCAGUCGACGCCACAAGAAUAAGUUGAGUAACGCCAACAAGUGGCGCACAAAAUUGAGAAUAGUACGUGGCGUAAUACCAGUAGUAAUAGGCAUAUCAAGACAUGCACGAACCGAACGCACUCAACUGACGGUAUCGGGUUUAAAGAUAUGGAGAAUUCUGGGAUUGGAAACCUGGUAUCAAAGUAAGUUUUGACCGGAGUGGAACCAAGACCGAGUAUUGAAGUACAAAAUAUUGGAAAAUUGUUGUAAGUCUGAUGGGCGCAUAAAUACAUAUGAUGGAAUUAUAAGAACAUUACAUGCCCCAAUAAGAUAAGUUCAGCCUUUCAGUUCGUAACUAGUAUCCUAGUCAGACCCGUAUCAGCCAAGUUUUGUUUGAGUAAUGACUGAAAUUAAUUCUAAUACUAUCAGUUACCUAAGCUGGCAUAUUAAGUGUCAUUAUCAUUGAUUCAAGAACAAGUAAUGCAGUUUUGUACUAGCAUCAAGAAGUCGGCGAACAAUUUUUCGUAUUCAAACCUCUCAACUAAUAACCCAACAUACUCGGUUAAACCUUUUGUGAGAAAUUAUCAGCUGAGUCAUAAUGAGAAUCAAGUCUGUUCCAGUUCCAGAGAUUAGUCAGUUAAGAGAGAGAUAAAUUAUUUUGGUGUUUGGAACCUAUCAUUUACAUUUAGUACAAUAAUUCAAUUAAUUUGCGAACCUUUCUAAUUCCUUAAUAUCAGUGAAUUGGAUUCACGGAUAGAGUGUUAUCAUUAUGUAAAUCUGACGAAAUGUCUUAAGCUUUCCAGCUUUGUUGUUAGUAAUCAGUUCGGAUUCAGGUAAGUUUUUUUAAGUAAUAGAGUAAUUGGCGGGAGCAAUAAGGGAAGUAAAUACUAGAGAGGACUGAAUGUAGCUGAGGUCGGUGAAGUGAUAAGAAGUGAAGUGUUGCAGACAUGUUAGAUGGCGGUAAAGUAUUAUGUAUAUGAUGGUGUGCCUAACGUCACUAAGCGAUGCAAGUGCUACUUGUGAUGUCUACGGUACGAGAAGUAUUAAUAGAAGAAAUAACAUCGGAUAAGAUGAGAUGAUGUGAAACAGUGUCUGAGAAGUUACAACUAAGAAUGUAAUGAUGUGUAUAGAGAAUGACAGUAAGUAGUCGAAUCAGAGUGCGCAGCCGGGAAGUGGUUGAGAAUGUAGUCGGCAGAUUGACUUGUAGGUCAACAACUCUUUGAGAGAGGAAAUCCCUAUUCGAAGGAAUUGAAAGUGGGGAACCGUAAAAUGAUUAAAGAUCGUAUAACGAGUAAAUUACGCAAAUAUUCAUGUUUGGACCUGAGAUUGUUAGUAUAAAAUACCCUUGAGAGCAAAGAUUGUGAAGGUAAAACGGUUCACUUGGGAAGUUUGACGCGGUGAACUAGUUAGAUUAAGUAUGCUUCGGCAUUGAAUUGAAAAGUGCAAAAGAAGGAAAGUUACGCUGUGAGCGUUAAAGUUGAGGAAAAGUAACAGAGGGAGCUAAUAUAAGAUGAGUGUGUACCUAAAAGUUGCAUUAUGGGCUAAGAUUAUGAGUUCAACGUCAUGGAAUAAAUGAGUAGAAUUUCCGAAAGUAUCAUAAGUGAACGCCAACGCAGUGAAGAAUGACGAUUACUAACCUUGAACGAUAAAUUAUGAUCAAUUAAGAAACGAAAUCCAGAAUCUGGAAAUGGAUUAUAGGCAAUGUACUUGGUGAUGAAUGAAGAAGUUCUUGAAUUUCGCGGACGAAAUUCUUUUAAGGGGGAUAGAUUGUAACAUCCCAACUUUAAUUAAUAGUAGAAUAUUAAUUAGAGAUAAAUAUUAGAGACUAAUUGGAAUAAGUGAGUAGAAAUUAUCACACAAAUAGAACACCAUGAUUUGUGGUCUACAUGUUAUUAAACAAAUGCUAAGAAAGAAUCAAAGCGGGACCCACACUUUGAUUAUGAACCACAUGACCAAAGCCAUAUCUCUUCAAUUUCAUUUUUCAUUUGCUGAACUGAAAGAGCACUCAGGAAACAAAGACUCCCUCACCCUCUCUCACGCCUCCCACCCUCAUCUCUACCUUUCCAUUUAUUCAACAAUCAAACAUGGAAGAUUCUUGCAUGCAAUCCACUCAUUAGUUUCUUGGGUCAAUUAGAGCAAGGAACAAAGUAUUGAUUAAAACCUCAAAGAUUCGGAGGUUUGAGUAAAAGGGGUCAAAUUGGAAGUUGAGAACUUAGUGGCAAAAAUAAGAAGUUCAUGGAGAUAGAGAAGUUGGGGAAAAGCUUGAAGCUUGGAGUUUCAACACUUAAUUCAUGAUUCUACGGCCGCUGGAAGUGGAGGAUGGCAGCAAAAGCUGCAUUUUGCUUACUGCAACAGCUCACCUAGCGAGCAGGAAGGUCUCUCAAUGACCGUAGCAGGGCAACAGUUCUUCUGCAUCUUUGUCAAACCAUUCUUGAAUAUUGGUAAGAAAACUUAGAGCUCUUUUCCUUUCAUUCAGAUUUCAGAAUCAGCAUAUUCUUCGAUGUUAGAAAAUGUCAUUAAUUCCAUUCUUGGUAUUUACAUGUGGUUUUUGUGGUGAAUGAGGCUUGGUUAAAUAAUUGGAGCUGAGCAUGGAAUUAAAAGUGGAAUUCAGAACCAUUAUAAAGGAAAAUAGAAUUUAUUAAGAAGCAUUGGAUGCUUGAAUGAUGACUGAGGAUGUACGAAUCAGUAAGGACAAUUGUUGAAACAAGGAAACAAAGAAGACUGGAAAUAUUUAUGGAAAUUCGUAUGCUGGAUGUACCCUCACUAAAAUGGUACCAGCCUAGUGAGAUGUAAUGGAGAAAUGAGGUCUCGACGAAUCUUUAAAGUGAAAGGUCCAACACAGAAUUUAUGCAGAAAGUGUUUGGGAUUGGGCUGCACUCAAACGAAUUGUGGCCAGUAGGUAUUUUUGAAGUUGGAACUCUGAUGCUGGUAUUAUGCAGAAAAAUCUGCACACAAGUUUGGAGUAGUUUCGUUGCAAAUUCUGCUUUUCGACGAGUUUCGGAAAUGUCGGUGGUAUGGUUCAAGCGUCGAUUUCAGAUAAACAGGUUGAUCAAGAUAUCAUGGUCUACAAGCAUGGAGUUCAGAUACUUGGAUUAUGCUAGUUGAGCUGACGUCAUGUUAUCUUAUAUUUGUAUAAGAUUUAGUUUCUUUAUGUUUUCAGUUGUUAGCUCAAUUUAGUAUUAAUCUCUUGGAUUUUGUAAUCCUAUUUAUGUAUUCGGACAAUAUGUAAUGAAAAUUUAAUGUUUCCCGAUUCAGUUA